ensembl:lncRNA
GGCAGGGGGGCCCUGCCCUCCAGGCCACUUCUGUCCAGAGGGCACGGGGGUGCCCCUGCCCUGCCCUGUGGGCACCUUCUCAGAUCGGUGAGUGCCACUGCCCCAGGUCCAAGGGGCAGUCUUCCUGGUCUUCCUUCCCACAGUGACCAUCUAUCUGUCUCACCAAUGAUGUCCCUCCGCCAUGGAGGAACAUGGACCUCAGAGAGCAGGACUUCUGCCUGGCCUCCAAGGGCAGGAACCCCCUGAGCAGCAGCGGAGGGACGGGGAGCACGAUGGUCAGAAUCAGGGCAGACGGUGCUGGCUGCUGGCCGCUUGAGAACGUGUCAGGCCUGAGGAGCAAACCAGGAAGAAGCCUGUGUGUCUGCCUGCACCUCAUUUGAGAGUAGAGCCCCAUCUCCCACCUUUAGGAACUGCCCAACCCCCAAGCAAGGGCACCGCAGAAUGAGGCAGCUGAGGAACCCGUGGCUGAAAGGCUGCUGGACAUUCUGACUGCAGCUGCCAGACCAGGGGUCUGCGGCCCUGGACAGCCUGACUCUGAACUGGGGAUUAAGAUGACAAGGAAACUAACCAGGAGCCUAUCUUAGGAGAGAGAGACCCAGCACACCCAGACGCCACCUUGGACCGCGCAUGGGAGCGCGAGGAAGCCCAGGGAGCCUCAACAAGGAGAAAUGAGAAGGCAGCCCCAGAAGGGCGGGUCUCUCGCCGGGACAUAGCCUCUCUACCCUAAGGGCCUCCUUUCCCACUGACCCGCACUCGCUCUCUGUGUCCCAGGAUGCUUCUCUCCACGGCCUCAGAGUGCCUACCCUGCCCCUCUGGCCAUUUCUGUGGUGUGUCUGGCCUUGCUGCCCCCUCUGCACCCUGCUCCCCUGGCUACUUCUGUCUGGUGGCAGUCUCUUCCCCAACCCCAACAGGCCACUCAGAGAAGGGGGGCCCCUGUCCCCGAGGUCACUUAUGCCCCAGGGGGACCAGCCUCUCCCAGCCUUGCCCUGCUGGCUCCUACAGCAACCUGACUGGCCAAGCCUCCUGCUUCCCCUGCCCCGCCGGCUACUACUGCCCUGAGAGUGUCAGCACCUACCACGAGCACCCCUGCCCUGCCGGCUUCUUUUGCCCCAGAGGCACCAAGUACGCCACCCAGUUCCCCUGCCCUCGGGGCUACUACAACCCAGACCCACUGACGCAGAGCCUGGACAGCUGUCUGCCCUGCCCGCCAGGCCACUACUGCGGCCAGGAGAACCUGACCCAGGCCUCUGGGCCCUGUGAUGCAGGCUGGUUCUGCGUGUCAACAGCAUGGACCGCUCGUCCCUUCGACCUGGACAACUACACCAGCACCAAUUGCCUGUGCCCGGCCGCGGCCACAGCGGGGAAGUGCCUGGCAGGCUCCUUCUGCCCCGAGGGCAGCCCGGAGCCCAGACCCUGCCUGCCGGGCUCUUUCUGCGCCACCUCCGGCCUCUCCACACCCAGUGGGCCCUGCCAAGCUGGCUACUUCUGUGCAGAAGGAGCAGUGUCCCCAGCUCCACGGGACGGACUGACAGGGGCCCCCUGCCCCCCAGGAACCUUCUGUCCUGCAGCAUCACCCAGGCCUGUGCGGUGUCCUGCCGGCACCUUCUCCAGCUUCCCAGAGCAGACGGUGCCCUCUGCGUGCCAGGCCUGCCCGCGCGGCUUCUACUGCAAGGAGCCUGGUCUCCAGGCCCCCUGCUGGCAGUGCCCAGCAGGCUAUUACUGCCCCCUGGGCACAGCCGUGGCCACACACCCCAGCUGCCCAGUGGGCACUUACGGCCCUCGGAAGGGGCUGAGGAGCAUCACUGAGUGCCUGCUGUGCCCCGCUGGGAAGUUCUGUGCGCUGGCAGGGCUCGCAGCGCCCACAGGAGACUGUGCUGCAGGGCACUGGUGCAAGGGAGGAGCCACCAGCAAGGACCCCGCUGAUGGGGCACGAGGCCUCCUCUGCCCUGCUGGGCACUACUGCCUCGAGGGAGCUUCAGUCCCAGCCCGAUGCCCACCUGGUACCUGGUCUGAGGAAGGGAACCAAACCCCAGAAGGAUGUCAAGAUUGCUAUGGAGGACAACUCUGCUCUGGCAGCCACCCAUCAAUCUGGCCAGCACCCUGCCACCCAGGGUUUCUACUGCCCUGAAGGGACAGGGCUCAAUUGGCAGCCCUGCCCCCUGGGCACCUAAGGCCCAGUGCCCGGACUGGGCAGCCUGCCGGGAUGUGGAGUCUGUGACGGAGGCAGGUUCUGCCCCAGGGCCAGUGCCACGGAGGCGGGCAGACAGUGCUGGGAGGGCUUCUUCUGCUCCAGAGGGUCCACCCGGCCCAACCCGGAGGCUGGCACUGAAGAGGGGACUGGCCCAUGUCCUCAAGGACACUACUGCCCCAGGGGCUCAGCUGUGCCCCAGCCUUGCCCACCUGGCACCUUCGGCUCACGCGCCAAGCUCAGUUCAGAGGAUUCCUGCUCCCCAUGCCCGCCGGGCCACUACUGCAGCUCUGCUGGCCUUGCCAGCCCUCCUGGACUCUGCAGCACAGGUUUCUUCUGCCUCAGUGGGGCGCUCGUCCCCAACGGCUCCCUGGGAGACCAGGCCGGUGGCCCCUGCCCCACAGGACACUUCUGCCCCCCAGGCACUGCUGUCCCCAGGCCCUGCCUGGCAGGCACCCACAACGGCCUAGCUGCCCGAGGCCACUGUGAGCCUUGUCCAGAGGGGUGAGUGCAGAGAGGCCUUCCACGGCCCCACGUGUCCAGCUGGGCACACGGUUUGCAUUCCUGCACAGGAGGUGGCUGGAGCAGAUCUCGCUGAGAUUCCUUUCUGCCUGAGUAUUCUGUGACUUCAAGAAGACACAGAAGAACUUCCAUGACUUCUAGCUAGCUUGCUUUACGUCUCUUGAUCUCUUCGUUGUGCAUCACUGAGUCAUUCCUAAUUUCAGACCUGGGUCUCUUUUGCUUCAGUUUAAGCCAGUCAGCCUCCCCUUGAGUGCCUUGAGCUGGAGCAGAGCUGUGCCCAGCCAAGCGAUUGUUCCUGCGGUCUGUGGGGAGGCCAGCCCAGGAAGCCAUCUCCACACACCCCAGGCCAUUGGGUCACACAGCCCUCUGAGCUCCCCCCUCCUCGUCCUGUCUGUAGUUUCUUCUGCCCAGCAAAUACCUCCUCUGUGGUGGGGAACGAGUGUCCAGCCGGCCAUUACUGCCCUGCCUCCACCUCCUCUGCUUCUCAGUUCCCGUGCCCCAGGGGCACCUACAAGCCACAGGGAGGCGGUGUCCAGCAGUCAGACUGCAUCGUCUGCGAGCCAGGCUCCCACUGUCUCUUGCCUGGGCUGGUGGCCGUGUCUGGGCCCUGCCAUGCCGGGUUCCACUGCACUCAGGGAGCAUCUGUCCCAAAUCCCACUGACGGGAUCACAGGAGACCUCUGUCCUCUGGGCCACUUCUGUCCCCAGGGUAGCCCCAGGCCCACUCCCUGCCCCCCAGGGUCUCUCCUGCCCGUCCCCGGGGCCACAUCACUGGAGGACGGCCAGCCAUGCCCGGCUGGCUGGUUCUGCUCCCAGGCUGGCCUGAGCUCCCCGGAGGCCCCGUGUGAAGAAGGCUGGUUCUGCCCCAGGGCUUCUGUCUCCGGGCACGGUCCAGGCUCCCGUGCCUAACAGCAGUGAGACGAGCCUCGUGACCUGGGGCCUGCUGAGGAGGGGCCGCAAGCCUGUGCGUUAGCAAGGCUCCCCGUGCACCCAAAGCUCAGACAGGGAGAGGAGAGAGGCUCAGGAUGAGAGGAAGGGAAGAAACGAGAAGCAUUGAAACAAAAGCAAUCAUCAAAGAUGGUGAAUCCUGUGCUCUGGGGGAAGGAAUACAGGUUCCCAAGGGCCAGGACCCUCUUGUGAGGGAGCAGGAAGGGUCUUCACCCCUCAUGCGAGACCCUGGGCCUGGCAGAAAAGGGAGAGGUCAGACCCAAGGACAAGGUCCUAGCAGAGCCGGCACAAUUCCAUCUUCUGCGGCCUCAGUCCUCAACAGGUUCUGUCCCUUCGGGAUCUAGGGACCAGGAGGCAGGACUGUUUGGCCAGUGGACUGUCCUGCUGGCUACUACUGUCCUCUGGGUACCCAGACACCCACCCAGCACCCGUGCCCCAGGGGCACCUUCCGAGAGAGGCCCGGGGCACGCAGCACCAAGGAUUGCAGGCCCUGUCCCGCAGGGCAAUUCUGCUCAGAUUCAGGGGCUGGGAAACGCUUCCCGGACGGGCCAUGCUCAGCAGGUUAUUACUGCACCCCUGGCCAGACCUCAGCCACCCCUAUAUCUUUCCGGUGCCCCCGUGGCUUCUACUGUUCCGAGGGAUCUCCCCAGCCAAGGGCCUGUGAGAACGGAACAUUUCAGCCCCAGGAAGCAAAGGGCUCCUGUGAGCCCUGCCCCACAGGAUUCUACUGUGACGCCUCUGGCAAAGGCCCGAUCCUGUGCCUCCGGGGCUACUUCUGUCCCCCCGGCUCCCACUCAGCCACUGCCCACCCAUGCCCUUGGGGGACAUUCGGGCCCAGGCAAGGGGCCACUGCAGAGAGGGACUGUGAGCUGUGCCCAGCAGGGAUGUUCUGCUCAUCAGAAGGGCUGUCCCAGCCAUCAGGGCUCUGCCACUCUGCCCACUACUGCACAGGGGGAGCAGUGUCUCCCACCCCCAUCAAACACAAGGUACAGAUCACUGGGCCGGGCACCCUAGACAGGCGUCUGAGUCUGCCCUGCAGCACCCAUGUGUGUACUGGCUCAGGACAAAGCUGCCCAGGGGUUCCUGCUGGGCUCCCGCUGGGGGUGAAGCUCCCUGAGGGCAGGGGUCUCCUCACCUUCGUGUUCCCAAGGCCUGGCACAGGGCCUGGUGAUAUCUUAUUUCAAUGAUUCUGAGAUGUGCAUCUUUUUCACAUUUAACAUCACUAAAGUCAGCAGCAUCUUAUAAUCCAUGGCAUCUGGCAAUCAAUGGCAGUGAUUUUUUUCUUUUAAGUCAUUCGGCUUCCAGGAGAUGACAUCUUGGCUUAGAUGACAUGCAUGUGGCAAUAAUAGCAGAAAACACAUACAGAGCCUUGACUACUGCUGGGCAGCAUUCUGUGCUGCAUACACAUUGAUUCAGCAGUCCCCACACAGCCCUGUGGGAGGCCCCGGUGCCACCCCAUUUUAGACGUGAAGAAACUGAGGAGCACGUGGGGUAACGGACUUUCUCAAGGCCACACAGCGAGAAAGCGACCUUCAGCACGUUGGAUGAUUAUACCGUAGAGCAGUGCAGGGGAGAGUCGGCUGGGUGGAUAGACACACGGACCAGUGCUGGACAGACAGAUGGACAGAUGGGCACUGGUGUGUUAAUUGACUGGCUCUGAUUCUCAUUGUUACUGAGUUGCUGUGCGAACUUGAACAUACAUGCCCCUUGCCCGCUCUGGGCCCUGGCUUCCCUUUUAGAACAGACACUGCCCCUUCUUCUGGAAGUCACCGGUUCUACAUCAAUGCCACAGAGAAGAGACUAGGCCUGGAGACGAGGAAGGGAGGGGCGGGAGGCCACUGAGUCAGCGCUCUGAUUUAGAAAGUAGGGACCCCUGCCAAGCCUUGUCCUAGCUCAUCCUCCUCAGGUCUCAGCUGGCACAGCUAAAAGCACAUGUGAAUGGGGUGGUUCCGCAUGGGACGUCCUUGUGUGCAGUGCAGCCUCAUUCAGGACAGUCCUGGUCCCUAGCUUCUCCCCAGCAGCGGCGUUGGUAGCCUGGGACCACAGCUCUGAUUUGAAGUCCUUUUUUCCUUCUUUCUGGCUACACAG